AUGGCCUCCCUGGGCACUGCCCAUUCAAAGCCAGUGUGUCUGCACUUGACCACUGCGCAAGUCUCUCCUGCACAAAGCCUGCUCCACCCAGCCCAGGACCCCGGAAUACACACUAUGCAAGGUACCUUUGAUGAAAUUAUUACCGGGUGGGCACACAUUAUUACCAGAUGUAAUAAGAGCCCCUUGUCUGCAACAUCAUGGGAAGACAUGAAGAAGCCAUCCUUUGAGGGAACAAGCCAAAACCUACCAAAGCAUAAACAAGUUGAAACCAACAGGCUAUCCCUUAAAAAUAAUGCACCUCAAGCAAAACAUAAAAAGAACAAAAAGAAAAAAAAGCACUUCAAUGAAGAUGUGAAUGGAUUCAUGGAAUACCUAAGACGGAAUUCAUAGAUGAUGGUUCACAAUGGGGAGGUGAUAGCAACAGACAUUCAGGAAGUAAGGGAAGAAAUUGCAAUUGCUUUAAAGAAAGACAGUCAAUGGGAAGGAAGACAAUUAAAAAGACAAGCACAGCAAUGAAAAAUGUAAUGGUGUUUCCAUUGUGGAAAACCUAGUCAUGGAAUUACAGAUUACCCACCUGCCCUUGAAAAUUAAGAUAUAGGUGAUGGAAUAUGUUACCCGUGUGGGUUCACAAAGCAUGAAAUAACCAAAUGGAAGGCUAAAGUAGACCCAGCUGUUGGUGAAUUUCCUUUUGCAAAAUGUCUUGUUCGUGGGGAAAUGGGACACCUGUCUAGACCUUGUCCUGAUAAUCCCAAAGGGCUCUAUGCUAAUGGUGGUGGUUGCAAACUUUGUGGCUCUGUGAAACAUUUAAAGAAAGAUUACCCUGAAAGUCAGAAUUCAAAUAGAAUGGUCACAGUUGGUCGCUGGGCAAAGGGAAUGAGUGCAGACUAUGAAGAAAAUGUAUUUUAAAUUUUGGAUGCCCCUAAAACACAGAAACCCAAAACAAACAUACCUAAAAUCAUUAAUUGUUGA